GAGUUUUAUAUUUAAUUUUAUUUUAUAUUAUUAUAAAAAUUUAUAUUAAAAUAAAAUGAAGUAUUAUAUUGGGGUGAUAGAAAAAUAAAAUAAACUUUUUUUAAAAAUUUAACAUAAAUAAAUGAUUUUUUGAUCCAUUAUUAAUGAUUAUAAGAAAAAAUUACCUUAGGGAUAACAGCGUAAUUUUUUUUUUUAGAACAAAUAAAAAAAAGAGAUUGC
rnacentral:rRNA from 1 species